AUUGAACGCUGGCGGCAGGCCUAACACAUGCAAGUCGAACGAGUGGCGGACGGGUGAGUAAUGUCUGGGAAACUGCCUGAUGGAGGGGGAUCACUACUGGAAACGGUAGCUAAUACCGCAUACCAUCAGAUGUGCCCAGAUGGGAUUAGCUUGUUGGUUGGGUAACGGCUCACCAAGGCGACGAUCCCUAGCUGGUCGGAGAAGAUGACCGGCCAACAGGGAACUGAUAAACGGUCCAGACCCUUAGGGUAGGCAGCAGGGGGGAAUAUUGCACAAUGGGCGCAAGCCUGAUGCAGCCAGGCGGGGUGUAUGAAGAAGGCCUUCGGGUUGUAAAGUACUUUCAGCGGGGAGGCGUUACCCGCAGAAGAAGCACCGGCUAACUCCGUGCCAGCAGCCGCGGUAUAC
rnacentral:rRNA from 1 species